UGGGGAAUCUUAGACAAUGGGGGAAACCCUGAUCUAGCCAUGCCGCGUGUGUGACGAAGGCCCUAGGGUCGUAAAGCACUUUCGCCAGGGAAGAUAAUGACGGUACCUGGUAAAGAAACCCCGGCUAACUCCGUGCCAGCAGCCGCGGUAAUACGGAGGGGGUUAGCGUUGUCCGGAAUUAUUGGGCGUAAAGAGCGUGUAGGCGGCCCGGUAAGUCUGCCGUGAAAACCUGGGGCUCAACCCCGGGCGUGCGGUGGAUACUGCUGGGCUAGAGGAUGGUAGAGGCGAGUGGAAUUCCCGGUGUAGCGGUGAAAUGCGCAGAGAUCGGGAGGAACACCAGUAGCGAAGGCGGCUCGCUGGGCCAUUCCUGACGCUGAGACGCGAAAGCAUGGGGAGCGAACAGGAUUAGAUACCCGCGUAGUCC
rnacentral:rRNA from 1 species